rnacentral:rRNA from 1 species
UUUAAUUGAAGAGUUUGAUCAUGGCUCAGAUUGAACGCUGGCGGCAGGCCUAACACAUGCAAGUCGAGCGGUAACAGAGAGUAGCUUGCUACUUUGCUGACGAGCGGCGGACGGGUG